rnacentral:rRNA from 1 species
UACAGAGGGUGCAAGCGUUGCUCGGAAUUAUUGGGCGUAAAGGGUAGGUAGGUGGUCUUGUUUGUCAGAGGUGAAAUCCCUGGGCUUAACCCAGGAAGUGCCUCUGAAACGGCAAGACUCGAGUACUGGAGAGGGUCGUGGAAUUCCCGGUGUAGCGGUGAAAUGCGUAGAGAUCGGGAGGAACACCAGAGGCGAAGGCGGCGACCUGGACAGUUACUGACACUCAACUACGAAAGCGUGGGGAGCAAACAGG